rnacentral:lncRNA from 1 species
UCGACUGACAUAACUAAAGAAGGCAUUAUCAUGCAAAAUAUAGAAGAAGAAGAAGAAAAUGAAGUCAAUAAAGAGAAAAAUCAAAGCCCUCCGGACGGAACAAAUAUCCGAAAUCCUUCCCUCUCUCGACAAUUCAGCUUCAAACAAUUGGCGAGGGGUGUUUCUCUUAGCCGUAGUCACUCACGUUUAGUUUCACGCCCCAGUUUGCAUAAUGAAACUGAUCUUGAAAAUGGAGGUAGAUGGGUAGGUAGCUAGCAGCAAGAUUAAUCAAAACUUCAACUCCAAAAGGCCAGGGGCCUUAAUUUUUUUUCAUAAUUAAAUGUUUUGU